rnacentral:lncRNA from 1 species
UGUCAAGAUAUUUGGUAGUUAGCAAGAUUCUAGAAAAAAUUGCUACGUCAUACUCCUCCUCCAUCAAGACGAACUCAUCAUCCUCACCUAGUUCACCUUCCAACCACCACUCUCCAUCCAUAGAAUCCAGGACUCUGAUUCCCUAACGUUCCAACUUUUGACAAAGAAAGAACUAUUCUAGGUAUAGAACAGAACCAAAUCUUCUUCUAACAUCCUUAUAUCAAAAUCAAAAUCUCCAAUUAACACUUUUUGUGUUAGGUCAAUCCUCUGCCAUGUUUGAGUAGUCACCAAAACACGGCCAACAAACAUUCUCUCCAUGUUCAAAGUAUGUUCAUCCACUUUGAUGAAUACCCCAAAAUUUUCAGUAAGGAUGCGAAAGAAAUUCACUGUCCAAACAUUAACAAGGAACAAGUACCCCUAAGCAUUUAAUCCAGAUUAGUCGUUUCUUUGCAUCUUCCUUCAAAUUCAUCUUCUAAUUGAGGUGAAGAGGGAUUUGCACCAAUCUUCAUCCUCAUUAAAGAUUCUUGUAACAUCAGUGUUCCAUUCUCCCUUCAACAGAACCAAUUUGUCUCCCAUGUUAAUAGCCUUCACAACAGCACUCCUACAGUGGAAAAGGAUUCUUGAAUAGUAUUAACAUCAUAUGAAUUUCUAAGUUCACCCACAUGCAUAUUCAGGAAUAUUUCCAUGGUUCCAACCGACAUAUGGUAAGAAAUCGUGUUCUUGACAUCUGUUAUUAGUGGCUUAUCUUUUGAAUUUUCACUUAAGAUAAUAUCCUUCCAAGAUAAGGGAUCUCCUAAGUUAGAACUCACAAUUAAUUUAUUAAGAGUUUGCCCAGUUUUUUUAUUGUCUUCUAGAUGAGUAUUAGAAGAAACAGAUUUCUCCUGGAAAAACCUACCUUCCAUCCUUCUACAUUUAAGAUUGUUAACUUUUAAUUUAUAAUUCCCAAUCCACAUCUUCUCCAGACCAUUCAACAACUUACCACAAUCCUCUGUUUGUUUGAAUCUAUAUUUGAUUUUUACUUAUGUCUUUUUUCUUUGGGAUGAAUACCUCUCAUACUCUUCCCUAUAUUUGAUUUUUACUGUCUCAUUCUCAAAAUAAAUGACACAAUGUAUACUAGAGUACUGGAUAUUAUGAGUCAUAAAAUGAAGGUGAAGAGGAGAGAAAAAAUGCGGUUCAAUGGAAGAAAAAAUGGGAUUUGGGUAUUAUGAGGGUAUCAUGAGUGAGAGAAGGAAGGUGUGGAGGAGAGAGAAUGUAGGGCAUACUUCUCCAUUGAUAUUAGCUAGAAGAACAAAUCGAAAAUGACAUCGUUUUAUGUUUAAAUUUAUAAAAAAAACCCAAAAUAACGUCAUUUUAAAAAAUAUUUUUUUAAUAAAAAAUGACACGUCAUCUAGUGACGUGUUAUACUCGCCAACAUGGACAUAAGAAGUCUAACCAUGUUAUUAGUUAAUGAUACAUAUAGGUCAAACCGUUAACAUUAAGUGACAUAUAUGAAAAUAAGGACUAAUGUGGUUCCAUAUUGAAAUUGUUUGAGUGUAGAUUGCUAAUUUAAAUUUGUUAGGGACUAAGUUGAUAAGAUCGAAAAACACAAUGGAUCAAAAUGGGUAAUUACUCUAUUUUUGUUUACACCAUCAAAUAUUGAUUCACACAUAGACAUUAGAUAUGAUAUCGACACAAAUAUUUAGACAAAUAAUAUUUACAUCACAAAACAUGGGAAUACAAUACUAUCUAAUAUAUAUAUAGUGAAGAAAAUCUUGCUCUUAACCAUUACUUAGUUUGGAUAGAGACACAAACAUCACAAAAUGAAGUAAAAUGAUGUAAGACUUUGCAGACUUAGAAGCAUGAUAGAGAAAAGUGAUCUUAAACUUUUAAAAAGCUAAAUAACAGGUUACUCGAACUGAAUAAUGAGUUACAGAGUAACCGAUUACCCAAACUAAGUAACAUGUUACCAAGAAAAAUUAUUGAGGGUAACCUAUUACUCAAUCGAGUAUCCGAUUACUCAAUAGGGCAGAAGCUUUUUGUAUCAGAUUACCCACCUCGAGUAAUCAAUUACUUAUAGUUGUUCAACAGUUUUUAGAUUCAAAGUGAAAGAAAUUCUCCCAAAAUGAAAGAAUGUCACUCCAAUCGAUUCCCAACUUUAGGUAUGGAUAUGAUAGCUGAUUGGAGGCCUGUUUAAAGGUCGUUGGCAUUUAGAUUCAACAUACAACUUUCAUAGAUCAAUAAUACUACAUUUUCUAUACUUUUGUGAACAACUUAUUCAAACUUUCUGAAUUUUCUGAGAAGUUGUUUUUUAAGUGUUUUCUUCUAAGUUUUCAAAACUUAAACGCUUGAGCAUUUGUGUUUUACUUUUCGUGAUUGACAUUCAAGGAUUGAAUAUUAAAUUUUUAUACUUAGCAUUCCUAAACCUGGAAACAAUGUUGUUCAAAUAUACCAUUUUUCUGUAUAUUUCACCAUAAGAUAUGGUGAAAUGGAAAGACUGAUUUUAAGAAGUGGUGUAGUUCUAAAAGAUGAGAUUUAGUGAGUGUAAUCAGAGAUGAAUUCUAAGGGUGAGAUUUGUAACGAUUGACAUUUUACCAUAGUAUAAAUCUCUUGUGUUUGCAAGAGGAUUGGAUGUAGUAUUUGAUAGAUUAGAAGAUGAACUAAGAUAAAUCUCGGUUACUCUCUUUUGCUUAUACUCUUUUAUAUUUCUACAUUUGAUUUUUGCAUACUUACCUAUUCCGCUGUAUCUCUACUCUUACAUUUUUCUAAGUAGCAAAAAUAUACAUUAAGUGCAGAAAAAACAGAAAACUAAUUCACUCACAUUUUAGUUUGUCGUCUUAAGUAUAUAUAUAUAUAUAUAUAUGUAUAUAUAUAUAUGUAUAUAUAUAUGUAUAUGUAUAUAUGUAUGUAUAUAUAUAUAUGUAUAUAUAAGUUGUUUGAGUUGUUGAUAAGUGUCAAACAUACCUAAAUUUCAUACACUUUUAUGGCAUUUAUCUUAAGCAUAAUUGAGAAAAACCAACUUAAAACAAUACGUUUUGGAUAAAAUAUCACAAUCUUGUAUAUUUGUAUUUGUAUUUCUUUUUUAUGUGUUUUGUAGGAUUUAGAAAGAAAAUGAAAAGAGAAUAAAGACGCAUGAUCCAAGUAGAAAAAGAAGUCAAACUCAAAGUAUUCAAGCAGGCAGCUCAGCGUGGACCAAGUUACGCUCAGCUGACCUAGACACUAACCUGGCACAAACCAAGCUGCUCAAGCAAGCAGCUGAGCGGACCUGCUUGACCGCUCAGCCUGGCACCAGACAAAAUCUGACACGGUCAGAACUCAAGCUUGGCACGGUCAGAAACAAGCCUGACACACGUCCAAGCUGCUCAAGCAGCAACUCAACGAUGACACAUGUGUGCUCAGCGGUGAACCAGACACCUAACUAGGUCAGCAUGCACCAAGACACGUCUCAGUCAGUACGGUCAAAGCUGAUCAACAAGCAGCUUAGCGGUGCCACAUUGUGCUCAGCAGUGUGCACCAAACUUGACUUAGCCAUCAAGCAACCAUGAAGUCAUGCAUGACAUCACAUCAAGUAGCCCAC